rnacentral:rRNA from 1 species
GAUCCUGGCUCAGGAUGAACGCUGGCGGCGCGCCUAACACAUGCAAGUCGAACGGCACCUAUCUUCGGAUAGAAGCGAGUGGCGAACGGCUGAGUAACACGUGGAGAACCUGCCCCCUCCCCCGGGAUAGCCGCCCGAAAGGACGGGUAAUACCGGAUACCCCGGGGUGCCGCAUGGCACCCCGGCUAAAGCCCCGACGGGAGGGGAUGGCUCCGCGGCCCAUCAGGUAGACGGCGGGGUGACGGCCCACCGUGCCGACAACGGGUAGCCGGGUUGAGAGACCGACCGGCCAGAUUGGGACUGAGACACGGCCCAGACUCCUACGGGAGGCAGCAGUGGGGAAUCUUGCGCAAUGGGGGGAACCCUGACGCAGCGACGCCGCGUGCGGGACGGAGGCCUUCGGGUCGUAAACCGCUUUCAGCAGGGAAGAGUCAAGACUGUACCUGCAGAAGAAGCCCCGGCUAACUACGUGCCAGCAGCCGCGGUAAUACGUAGGGGGCGAGCGUUAUCCGGAUUCAUUGGGCGUAAAGCGCGCGUAGGCGGCCCGGCAGGCCGGGGGUCGAAGCGGGGGGCUCAACCCCCCGAAGCCCCCGGAACCUCCGCGGCUUGGGUCCGGUAGGGGAGGGUGGAACACCCGGUGUAGCGGUGGAAUGCGCAGAUAUCGGGUGGAACACCGGUGGCGAAGGCGGCCCUCUGGGCCGAGACCGACGCUGAGGCGCGAAAGCUGGGGGAGCGAACAGGAUUAGAUACCCUGGUAGUCCCAGCCGUAAACGAUGGACGCUAGGUGUGGGGGGACGAUCCCCCCGUGCCGCAGCCAACGCAUUAAGC